AGAGACUCUCUGGAAUGUGGUAUGAGCAAAACUGACAAGUCAAGGCAGGAAGAUGUUGCCAUCACAACUCAUUGGGUUUCUGCUGCUCUGGGUUCCAGCCUCCAGGAGUGAAAUUGUGCUGACUCAGUCUCCAGCCUUUCUGUCUGUGGCUCCAAGGGAGAAAGUCACCAUCACCUGCCGGGCCAGUCAGGGCAUUAGUAAUAACUUACACUGGUACCAGCAGAAACCAGACCAGGCUCCAAAGCUCCUCAUCAAGUAUGCUUCCCAGUCCAUCUCAGGGGUCCCCUCAAGGUUCAGUGGCAGUGGAUCUGGGACAGAUUUCACUCUCACCAUCAGCAGCCUGGAAGCUGAAGAUGCUGCAACGUAUUACUGCCAGCAGAGUAAUAGUUGGCCUCACACUGUGUUACAACCCAGAACAAAAACUAGCUCAGCCUGGCUGAUCAAAGAAACAGGACAAAACCCUGUAACACUUCUGAUGGUUGCAGGUGCUUCUGGGGCAAUGAGUUAA